UCUGUUAUGUCUUUGAUUCAUUGUCUCUUUGCUUUCAGGUAACAACAGUGUAGAUCGACGAUGCAUAUAGUCCGAGGUAACGAUCUCUUUGCUUUCGAUUACAAUUUCAGCUCACGACACAGGCGACUCUACUAACUUAGCUGAUGUUUACUUGUUUAGGAAAAUAACAAACAGAACAAAGCUUAAACCAAAGUAAGUUGUUAAUACUCCUAUCAUGUGCACUUUAUCUUGUUGUUUAUUGGUAACAAAGUAUGGUGUUUUGUCUCUGAUAUGCUUGUGGUGUUCUGUCUCGAGGUGAUGGAGUGAUGGUGAACAAGGAGGCGAGUGGCUCAUCUUCUUCUCCUCUUCACUGCUAAAGCGUCAUGAAUCAUGUUUUAAAGCGUCAUGAAACUAUAUGUCCGUUUGUAAUUCUAUGUCCCGCGGACCAACCCGCAAAGGUACAUAUUUUGCAGUAUGGGUUUGGUCAGCCAUUUUGAAGAACGCAGUCUGCGCGGACCUGACCUGCCAUGACUCGCUCGAAGACGAAUCCGCUGCGGUACAGAACGGGACAUGACAGAUUAACUUGUUUGACAUUCCUAUACUUAAGUAUCAGUUAUUUAGAUGUUUAACCAGUUCUUGAUAACGAUGUACUAGUCUAUUCUAACAUGUAAGUUUAUUGAUGUAUAGUUUUACUG
rnacentral:lncRNA from 1 species